rnacentral:rRNA from 3 species
UUUGCCUGGCGGCCAUAGCGCGGUGGUCCCACCUGAUCCCAUGCCGAACUCAGAAGUGAAACGCCGUAGCGCCGAUGGUAGUGUGGGGUCUCCCCAU